CGAUUCUCCUGCCUCAGCCUCCCGAGUAGCUGGGAUUACAGAAAUCCUGGAUCCACCACCGCUGCUGUUCACCCUCUCCCACCCAUCCUGACCCAGACCCAGAUGAAACAGGCCCUAAUGCCAGCCCUUCAGGUCACUUCCUGAAUAACCAAUGGCUUGGAAAAAGAAAAAAAAUAUUUAAUGGAAUCUGUGCUCAAAUAAUAUGUUACAACAAAAAUAUACAGAAUGUACACAAUACAAAAAUACUUAGAAACAAA